rnacentral:snoRNA from 1 species
GUGCAGAUGACAGACAAACUACUGUUGGCAAAAGAAAGACAUGAACAAAGGAACUCCUGGUGCCC